ensembl:lncRNA
GAACUAUUCUCUCCAUUGACGGAUGAGGAAGCAGAGGCCCAGAGAAGUUAAGCAACCUGCCUGAAAUCUCCCGGCUUCUAAGAGGGCAGUGUCAGGACAAGUUCAGCUGGGCCCCCUGCCUGACCAGACAGUGGAGAAGUCCACCCUCUAGGUCCACUAGCCCCAGGGAGAGAUAUAGGAGUGGGGGUGGGAACAGCAGGGAGGUAUCCUAAUCAAGGGCGAGGCCGGAAAUACAGAAAGCUGGGUUUUUCAGCUGCAGAUUUGACAGGAAUGUGAAGCCGUAGGAACCGGGCGGACUUGCUGCUUUCCUAAUCCACUGCCUUCUGGAAAAGUCGGGAAAGUUGCUGGUCAGACUUUGGAUUCUUGACUAAAAAGAACAUACAACUUCAGAGUUAGUUCCUCUUCUUGGGCUCCAAAAUCUCUGUGGAUGGCAACUGCAGCCAUGAACGUGGAAGACAACUGCUUCUUGGCAGGAAAGCAGAGUCAGACAGGACUGGGCAACUGAACAGCAACUUUUCUUUAGGCCAAUUAGAUCAGAGCUCAUUUACAAACUAAUCUCAGCAAUCAGCAAUAUUAUCCAAAGACAAAGACAUAUACCGAGACAUACAUGUAUUCAAAUAGACACAAGAGAUCUCAGCUUUGCUUUCCUAACUU